rnacentral:rRNA from 1 species
UACGUAGGGUGCGAGCGUUAAUCGGAAUUACUGGGCGUAAAGCGUGCGCAGGCGGUUCGUUGUGUCGGCGGUGAAAGCCCCGGGCUCAACCUGGGAAUGGCCGUUGAAACUGGCGAACUGGAGUGUGGCAGAGGGGGGUGGAAUUCCGCGUGUAGCAGUGAAAUGCGUAGAGAUGCGGAGGAACACCGAUGGCGAAGGCAGCCCCCUGGGCUGACACUGACGCUCAGGCACGAAAGCGUGGGGAGCAAACAGGAU